GCCUAAAAUUAAGCCUAAUUUUAACCUCAUGUAACCGACAACCUUUAAAGACCCAACAAAACAUUUUACCAUUUUAGUAAAGGCGAUCGAAAAGCUCAUUAGCGCUUUACCCCUAGUACCGCAAGGGAAAAAUGAAAUAGCUUUGAAAUAGCUUUAAAGCAAAACACAGCAAAGAUUAUUACUUG
rnacentral:rRNA from 1 species